rnacentral:rRNA from 1 species
UACGUAGGGGGCAAGCGUUGUCCGGAAUCAUUGGGCGUAAAGCGCGCGUAGGCGGCCCGGUAAGUCCGUUGUGAAAGUCAAAGGCUCAACCUUUGAAUGCCGAUGGAUACUGCCGGGCUGGAGUCCGGAAGAGGCGAGUGGAACUCCUGGUGUAGCGGUGGAAUGCGCAGAUAUCAGGAAGAACACCAACGGCGAAGGCAGCUCGCUGGGACGGUACUGACGCUGAGACGCGAAAGCGUGGGGAGCGAACAGG